CAGUCAUUCAGUCAGUCACACAGUUCAGGAAAGCAUCGUCAGUUGACGGUGUUAUGUGCAUUGCUGUGGAGGUGGGGGCGUGGUUGAACGCCGGCUUGUGAAUGGAGAGCGACAUCGGGAGAAGAAAUAAAGUCAUACACAUCUGGGAUGGCUUGAGGGUAAGUAAAUGAUGAGAGAAUUUUCAUUUUCAAGAUGGCUGAAAACCGUGUGAAGUCCACUUUAGAGGAGCGGUUGACUGGAAUGCAUCUUAAUCCCCCCCCCAAUUUGGAAUGCCCAGUUCCCAGUUCACUCUAAGUCCUUGUGGUGGUGUAGGGACUCGCCUCAAUCCAGGUGGCAGAGGACGAAUCUUAGUUGCCUCCGCGUCUGAGACCGUCAAUCCACGCAUCUGAUCAUGUGGCUUGUUGAGCGAGACAGCGCGUGUGGAGGCUUCACGCUAUUCUCCAUGGCAUCCACGCACAACUCACCACACACCCCACCGUUCACACAUUAUAGUGAACACAAGGAGGUUACCCCAUGUGACUCUACCCUCCCUAGCAACUGGGCCAAUUUGGUUACUUAGGAGACCUGGCUGGAGUCACUAAGCAUGCCCUGGAUUUGAACUCACGACUCCAGGGGUCUUAGUCAGCAUAUUUACUCACUGAGCUACCCAGGCCCCACAAUGUUAAGUUUUAAUGAACUCGAAUCUGUAUGUUCUAUACGUUAUUAUUAACAGUAAUAAAUUAAAAGUAAAUUAAUUAAAACACAGCCUGAAUGUAUUAGAAAUACACUGAAAUAACAAUAUAUUAAAAGGUAAAUACCAAUACUCACAUUUCUAAGUGUAUUUAUUUAAAUUAUAUUUAAACAGUGGCUACAUGCAAAUAGGCCUACUUUGGUGGCUGUUUCAUGAUUUCACAUAUCCUUUUACAGUAAAAAAAUUUUCUCUGAUGCAAUGUUGUUUUAAAGUUUGAAUUAGAAUGCUUGAUCAGUCAAAAAUCAAACUUAGUAUAAGUGAAGCUUUGAUUGAAGAAAUGUAUAUGCCUUGUAUUUAACCACUUACAGUUUAUUAUUGUUAUUGUUAAUGAUUAAUCAAUUUUCAUUCAUUAACAUUAACGAUCAUUGAUUAAGGAAAUUUCUUACUGCAUCUGGAUGGA